GAUGAACGCUGGCGGCGUGCCUAAUACAUGCAAGUCGAGCGAACAGACGAGGAGCUUGCUCCUCUGACGUUAGCGGCGGACGGGUGAGUAACACGUGGAUAACCUACCUAUAAGACUGGGAUAACUUCGGGAAACCGGGGCUAAUACCGGAUAAUAUAUUGAACCGCAUGGUUCAAUAGUGAAAGACGGUUUUGCUGUCACUUAUAGAUGGAUCCGCGCCGCAUUAGCUAGUUGGUAAGGUAACGGCUUACCAAGGCGACGAUGCGUAGCCGACCUGAGAGGGUGAUCGGCCACACUGGAACUGAGACACGGUCCAGACUCCUACGGGAGGCAGCAGUAGGGAAUCUUCCGCAAUGGGCGAAAGCCUGACGGAGCAACGCCGCGUGAGUGAUGAAGGUCUUCGGAUCGUAAAACUCUGUUAUUAGGGAAGAACAAAUGUGUAGGUAACUAUGCACGUCUUGACGGUACCUAAUCAGAAAGCCACGGCUAACUACGUG
rnacentral:rRNA from 1 species